rnacentral:rRNA from 1 species
UACGGAGGGUGCAAGCGUUGUCCGGAUUUAUUGGGUUUAAAGGGUGCGUAGGCGGCCAUAUAAGUCAGUGGUGAAACCCUUGGGCUUAACCCAAGGAGUGCCAUUGAUACUGUAUGGCUUGGGUUAUCUCUGGGCGGGCGGAAUGGAUGGUGUAGCGGUGAAAUGCGCAGAUAUCAGGAGGAACACCGGUGGCGAAGGCGGGUCUCUGGGCAGUAACUGACGCUGAGGAGCGAAAGCGUGGGGGAGCGAACAGG